UACGUAGGGUGCGAGCGUUAAUCGGAAUUACUGGGCGUAAAGCGUGCGCAGGCGGCGCGUUAAGACAGGUGUGAAAGCCCCGAGCUUAACUUGGGAAUUGCGCUUGUGACUGGCGUGCUGGAGUGUGGCAGAGGGAGGUGGAAUUCCACGUGUAGCAGUGAAAUGCGCAGAUAUCAGGAGGAACACCGGUGGCGAAGGCGGGUCUCUGGGCCGAUACUGACGCUGAGGAGCGAAAGCGUGGGGAGCAAACAGG
rnacentral:rRNA from 1 species